rnacentral:rRNA from 1 species
AGUGAACGCUGGCGGUAGGCCUAACACAUGCAAGUCGAACGGCAGCACAGUAAGAGCUUGCUCUUACGGGUGGCGAGUGGCGGACGGGUGAGGAAUACAUCGGAAUCUACUUUUUCGUGGGGGAUAACGUAGGGAAACGUACGCUAAUACCGCAUACGACCUACGGGUGAAAGCAGGGGAUCUUCGGACCUUGUGCGAUUGAAUGAGCCGAUGUCGGAUUAGCUAGUUGGCGGGGUAAAGGCCCACCAAGGCGACGAUCCGUAGCUGGUCUGAGAGGAUGAUCAGCCACACUGGAACUGAGACACGGUCCAGACUCCUACGGGAGGCAGCAGUGGGGAAUAUUGGACAAAGGGCGCAAGCCUGAUCCAGCCAUACCGCGUGGGUGAAGAAGGCCUUCGGGUUGUAAAGCCCUUUUGUUGGGAAAGAAAAGCAGCAGGUUAAUACCCCGCUGUUCUGACGGUACCCAAAGAAUAAGCACCGGCUAACUUCGUG